UACGGGGGGGGCAAGCGUUGUUCGGAAUUACUGGGCGUAAAGGGCUCGUAGGCGGCCAACUAAGUCAGACGUGAAAUCCCUCGGCUUAACCGGGGAACUGCGUCUGAUACUGGAUGGCUUGAGUGUGGGAGAGGGAUGCGGAAUUCCAGGUGUAGCGGUGAAAUGCGCAGAUAUCAGGAGGAACACCAAUGGCGAAGGCAGCUCGCUGGAACGGUACUGACGCUGAGGCGCGAAAGCGUGGGGAGCGAACAGG
rnacentral:rRNA from 1 species